UAGAGAUUCUAAUCACGGUAUGGAUUUAUAACUUAGGAUUUGUUUUAAUAUUUAUCGAAUAUUUCAUAUUAUUUGUAUUACUUUAACUAAAUCAUGCAUAUUAUGUUUUGUUAUGUUAGUACUUUGAUGAAUACAAGUGUGCUCAUUACACGAGACUGGCAGUUGGAACAAAUCAAGGAGGAAUUGUGUCAAUAUUUUAUUGAGAAAAGAUUAAUUAGUAUAUAAUGGUUUCAAAAUAACAUGAAUACUUUGAUGAAGAAUGGUUUCUGGUUGGCAAGUGUAUAGUUCUUUAUAUUUUUAACAGAUUAGUUAUGACUCCAAAUAGGCCGUAUAACAUAUUAGUUUUGACUUGUGUAUAGUUCUUUAUAAUUUUAGUGAUAUCUUUAAUUUCAUGGAUAGAUUAAUGUGUUCAUUCUUGUGUUGGUUUGCUUUAAAAAAUUACAAAUGCUUGAAUUAUGACUCCAAAUGUGUUCAGUGCCUAUCUAUCCUUGUGUUGGUUUGCUUGAAUUAUGACUCCAAAUGUGU
rnacentral:lncRNA from 1 species